rnacentral:rRNA from 1 species
UACGAAGGGGGCGAGCGUUGUUCGGAUUUACUGGGCGUAAAGGGCGCGUAGGCGGCCCUCUUUGUCGCGUGUGAAAGCCCCGGGCUCAACCUGGGAAUGGCGCGCGAAACGGGGGGGCUUGAGUUCGGGAGAGGAGAGUGGAAUUCCCAGUGUAGAGGUGAAAUUCGUAGAUAUUGGGAAGAACACCGGUGGCGAAGGCGGCUCUCUGGACCGAGACUGACGCUGAGGCGCGAAAGCGUGGGGAGCAAACAGG